rnacentral:rRNA from 1 species
CCUACGGGGGGCAGCAGUGAGGAAUAUUGGUCAAUGGACGAGAGUCUGAACCAGCCAAGUAGCGUGAAGGAUGACUGCCCUAUGGGUUGUAAACUUCUUUUAUAUGGGAAUAAAAUGUUCCACGUGUGGGAUUUUGUAUGUACUAUAUGAAUAAGGAUCGGCUAACUCCGUGCCAGCAGCCGCGGUAAUACGGAGGAUCCGAGCGUUAUCCGGAUUUAUUGGGUUUAAAGGGAGCGUAGGUGGAUUGUUAAGUCAGUUGUGAAAGUUUGCGGCUCAACCGUAAAAUUGCAGUUGAGACUGGCAGUCGUGAGUACAGUAGAGGUAGGCGGAAUUCGUGGUGUAGCGGUGAAAUGCUUAGAUAUCACGAAGAACUCCGAUUGCGAAGGCAGCUCACUAGACUGCAACUGACACUGAGGCUCGAAAGUGUGGGUAUCAAACAGGAUUAGAUACCCUUGUAGUC